GGGACAGUGGCUCAGUGGUAGAGUGCUUGCCUGUCAUGCAUGAGGCCUUGGGUUUGAUUCCUCAGCACCA
rnacentral:tRNA from 1 species